AUUUAAUUAUGUUUAUCGGCUUAGUUACUUAUAUUGCAUGAUUUUUAUAGUGUGAAGCUAGCUUAUAUAGCAUGGUUAUUAACAUAAUAACAACAACAUUCAAAUAUGCGUCGUUAGAUUACACUUUGUUACAGAAUGCGUUGAGGAAAUAAAGGUUCACUGCUCGUUCCCGGUAGGUGAUAGCAUGAUAAUAUGUAGCCUAUAUGUUGACCAAACUUCUUAAUAAUAUUCGUGCCAAAUUUGAAGUAAAUCCAUGCAGUAUUUUUGAGUUUAUCCCGGACAUACAUACAGACAAACAGACAAAAAUUCUAAAAACUAUAUUUUUGGCUUCGGUAUCG
rnacentral:misc_RNA from 1 species